UCCCUGGCAGUCUAGUGGUUAGGACUCCGCUCUCUCACUGCUGAGGGCCUGGGUUUGAUUCCUGGCUGGGGAA
rnacentral:tRNA from 1 species